CCAUACGCCCAGGAAGGACAUAUCGCUCUUAGCCUUGAAGUACUCACCCUGCAGCAGCACCCAGGCCUGAUCUAGAUCCCAUUAAAGUGGAAACUCUCCCAUUUGCUUUACUGGGGGCCUGAUCCAACUUCCAUUGCAGAAAUGUGGAAGAGCAUUGUCAGUGAUCCAGUUCUAUAUGGAGCCACUUAACCUGAUCUGUGACAUGCCAUGGAUGGGCUCAUGGGCCUGGGUAGCAUCCAGAGCCUCACCAAGCACUGUGACCAGCAGGGAUUUAGCCAGUCAGGCUUCAGGCCCAUCUGCUGCCUCACUUCUCUCUCAGAUGCUGACUCACUGUCUUCCCCCCCAGUGGUCCUCCAGCUCUCCCACUAUAAUUAGGUAUCUGAGCAUGUACGUGAAUUGGGAGAUUUUUUUCUUCCCUGUCUCCUCUUCCCCCUAUUGAUGAGAAAGGAAGGACAGCCUACAGUGGUGGAAGGAUAUUUAGAGGAAUCCAACACAAAUGACUGGCCAGAUUCUCUUCUGAAGCACAGUUCUCUUGGAGCAGGAAGUGGGACAUCAGGGCAUUAUGGCCUUCUGAUUCUCAGGCUGUCCAAGAGCAGAGCUGUGUUCUGCCUCACCCCUAACAAACCUCUGUGCUGGAGUGGGUUGUCAGAGGAGCCAGCGAUACCAGUUUUACAGCUGCUGAGAGCCUCCCUCUGCUGGUGGACUUCAACAAGGCAUCUGUGGCCAGAUUCCGGCCCCUUUGUGCCAUACAGGUAGGGCGUAGGGGUUGGAAUCAGGGCAGAGAAUCUGACCUGAUGUAUUCUUUGCCUGCUGUUUGUCUAUUCUUAAUGUAAUUGAAAGAUUUGCUCCCUUGUUAUGGCCAAACAGAAGCUUGAAGAGACUUGCUGAUGAGACUAUGUAAAGCUCUUCAGCAUACCGGCUGCAGGUCUAGCUUUGUAUU